rnacentral:rRNA from 1 species
UACGUAGGGUGCAAGCGUUGUCCGGAAUUAUUGGGCGUAAAGAGCUCGUAGGCGGUCUGUCGCGUCGGAUGUGAAAACCCAGGGCUCAACCCCGGACUGCAGUGGGUACGGGCAGACUAGAGUGUGGUAGGGGAGACUGGAAUUCCUGGUGUAGCGGUGAAAUGCGCAGAUAUCAGGAGGAACACCGGUGGCGAAGGCGGAUCUCUGGGCCUUACCUGACGCUCAGGCGCGAAAGCUAGGGGAGCGAACAGG